AGGUUGCAAUAAAGAUGUUCAGCCUGAAGAAGAGGAUUUGCUGAAGGUUCUAAAAGAUAUUCCUACAUUGACUGAUGAAUAUGGCAACGAUUCCCCUGAUGAAGGAGAUGAAGAUGAUGUGGAGAUGGCCAGAGUUUGUAGAGCUGACAGAACUUGUCAAUUUGGCAAUGAUACCAUCGCCUCUCCUCCAGACAAUGACAAUGAUGAUAUAGAGACAGUAGUAGAUACUCUUUCAUUGGCUGA